AACGAACGCUGGCGGCAUGCCUAACACAUGCAAGUCGAACGAGACCUUCGGGUCUAGUGGCGCACGGGUGCGUAACGCGUGGGAACCUGCCCUUAGGUUCGGAAUAACUCCCCGAAAGGGGUGCUAAUACCGGAUAAUGUCUUCGGACCAAAGAUUUAUCGCCUUUGGAUGGGCCCGCGUUGGAUUAGCUAGUUGGUAGGGUAAAAGCCUACCAAGGCGACGAUCCAUAGCUGGUCGGAGAGGAUGAUCAGCCACACUGGGACUGAGACACGGCCCAGACCCCUAGGGGGGGCAGCGGUGGGGAAAAUAGGGAAGGGGGCAAAAGGCAGAACCGGCACGGCCGGGGUGGUGGGGAAGGCCUUGGGGUGGGAAAGCUCUUUUCCCCGGGAGGGAAAGAAGGGAACGGGGAAAAAAAGCCCGGGUAACCCCCUU
rnacentral:rRNA from 1 species